AUUGAACGCUGGCGGCAGGCCUAACACAUGCAAGUCGAGCGGAGAGGCGGGCGGGUGCGUAAUGCAUAGGACUCUGCAUGGUAGUGGGGGAUAACGUCCGGAACCGGGACCUGAUACCGAAUACUCUCAGCAGAGGCUAGGUCGGAUUAGCUAGUUGGUGGGGUAAAGGCCUAACAAGGCGACGGUCCGUAACUGGUCUGAGAGGAUGAUCAGUCACACGUGAACUGAGACACGGUCCAGACUCCUACGGGAGGCAGCAGUGGGGAAUAUUGGACAAUGGGCGAAAGCCUGAUCCAGCCAUGCCGCGUGUGUGAAGAAGGUCUUCGGAUUGUAAAGCACUUUAAGUUGGGAGGCGUUACCAACAGAAGAAGCACCGGCUAACUUCGUGCCAGCAGCCGCGGUAAUAC
rnacentral:rRNA from 1 species